AUUUUCCCUAAAACCACCGAGGUCCCGACCUCUCUUCCCCGAUCCCUUUCUCUUCUCCCUCACACGCUCUCUUCUCUUGAUGCCAUCGCUGACAUGGGAGCCGUCGAUCAUCUUCUCUUCGUCGGCGCAGCCUCAUCGCCGAUCGCCAAAGAGAUCGCACCGACGGGCCGAGCCUCCCUCUCAAGGUGUGGAGUCUUUCCCUCUUCCUCUCCACUUCUUCUCAUGCGAUCGGAGCAGACGGCGCCAUUGGACCCAUUUUCGAUCGAGCCUUCCUCCUCCUUUCCUUCGAGGUGUGGAGUCUUUUCCCUUCCUCGCGUUUGAGUCCACCGUCGGCUGUCGAAUCCGAACGAGGCAGUAACGAGUUCGUCAAGGAGGUUCGUCACUUAACCCUCUCCACCAGAUCUCGACUCUUUGUCUUCGUCAGCAUGGAUCUGUGGCCGAUCCUCCUCUCGAUUUCUUCUGCCCGAUGCUGAGCCACAGCGCCGUCAACGCCAAUCAACCCACCGCCGGUCACAAGGAGGAGGAUCUGAACCCUAGAUUCGGUCCCUCGUUGCCUCACUCGUGUGCUGUGGUUUCGAUCAUUGGAGCCUCUAUUUCAGCCGAGGUUUUGUUGCCAUCUACAUUGUCGUCGGCUACUUGUUGCAAGAAAUGGUUACUAGGCCAGUGAACCUUUGGAGAAGGGAUUGUUGACAAGGAAUUAAGGUUUCGGCCACCACAACUUCAAUUGGGGAUCGGUUUCUUCGCCGGAUCUGUGAUCAACACCGACAAUUAAAAUAGAAGAGGUUGCUGGAGAUGUUUCUGUGUGUAAUAUGAUCUGGGAUUGUAUUAGUUGAGAUUGAUCUUGGGUCAGAUCUGAAAUUGUUGGAGGAAGCUAAGGACUUUGUUUCGGGACGAGCAUCUCGAUAUCGGAUUUCGGGACACGAUUGACAGAUAAAGGUAGCAGGUAAAUGAUUUAUGGAGUCGCCUGGAGAGCCUGUCCGCCAGUCCCACGUCACAU